rnacentral:lncRNA from 1 species
UCCUCCUCCCAGAAGUCUUGUCACAGAGGGGAGAGGAAAGAAGGAAGGUAACUGAGAGCAUAAGGUCAGAGGAACUUUUCCCUUCAGAAAGGAAAAUCAGAGGCUUUCUGCGUGCUGACGGAAACGAUCAGAGAGACAGGGGAGCGUGGUUAGGAGAGGGUGAGCGCUGGUUGGCAUGGAGCCCUGGAGAGGCAGGUGGGGUUGGCAUCUGGUGCACAGCCGGGUGGAGUGGCACAUGCCUGCAAUCCCAGAAGGUAGAGGUAAGGAGGAAACUCAGGAGUUCAUGGUUAACCUUGGCUUCAUAGCAGUUUCAAGGCUAGCCUGAGCUGCGUAAGAUCGUGCCUGAACACAGCAGAAGAAAGAAAGAAAGAAAGAAAGAAAGAAAGAAAGAAAGAAAGAAAGAAAGAAAGAAAGAAAGAAGAAACAGGCCUCCCUGCUGGGGGACAAGGGUGGGUGCCGCCUCAGUGGGAGGAAAGGCAGAGCGGAUGGGCACAGAUGCCGGUGGGUGGGGAGCCGCAGAGCCAGCACAACGUCUGUGCCAAGGGCUUCUAUUUUCUUAGCAAAAUCGGAAGAGGUUGUCAGCUGAGAGUGAGGUGGAGGAGGAGGUGUGAAGCAGUCGUCUAGGAGAGCGGGUGUGAAUAGACUUGAGGGAUGGAGCACAGCGGCCGGGCAGUCGUGGUCCUUGGAGUGGGACUGGGGGCUGAGCCUGCAGCUCAAGGGCAUGGAGGAGCGAGCAUGCCGAGGUUUGGAGUCCUCUAGCUCCACAAAAUAGAAAUCAGCAGUUCAGCUCGCAGGUCAGCAACAGCAGCCCGAUCCAGUCACCAACACUUCACGGAUACACCAGCAGUUCACCAACACUUCAUGGAUACCCGAGCAGGUCAGUUCAAUAGUGCCUGGAUAGGGGCAGCAGUGGCACGACCUAGCAGGAACAGUCAAUCAGGCCUUGGCCCAAACAGCACGAGUCAACAGGGAGGAUUUGGAUCACCAGGAACUCCAGGAAAAGUUCUCAGCUGUGCCUCUCUCAGCGAAGAUGCAAGACCAACAAGCAUUGCACAGCUUGCUCUAUAAGCAAGCCUAGCCUGAUCUCUGUCACCAUCCGUGGAGUCCUUUUUACACUCCCUCCAAACAUAAAGUGUCCUCCUCGGGUCUUGCCUCAGCAUGUGAGUCUGUCUUGGCUGACAUCCCUCUGCCAAUCGGCCCAAAUCUGCAGAAGCAGCAAGAAGCCACAGCACACCACCAGAAGUGUUUUGGUGCGUUUCUCCCUAUGGAGUCCUGACAAAUGCAGCUCAACUACGCAGUGU